CCCUUAGAUGUUCUGGGCUGCACGCGUGCUACACUGAUAUUGCCAAUAUGUCAUUCUUAUCCGAAAUGGAUUGGGUAAUCAAGUAAUGAAAUUUCAUGCUUGGAAUCGGUAAUUGCAAUUUUAUCGUGAACGAGGAAUUCCUAGUAAGCACUAGACAUCAGCUAAUGUUGAUUAUGUCCCUGCCCUUUGUACACACCGCCCGUCGCUACUACUGAUUGGGUGUUCAAGUGAGAUGCUUAGACCCUUGUUGCAUGGUUCAUUAUUGUGCUCCGAAAGGAAAAAGUUUCAAGCUUGAGUGUCUAGAGGAAGUAAAAGUCGUAACA
rnacentral:rRNA from 1 species